rnacentral:rRNA from 1 species
GAUGAACGCUGGCGGCGUGCCUAAUACAUGCAAGUCGAGCGAACGGACGAGAAGCUUGCUUCUCUGAUGUUAGCGGCGGACGGGUGAGUAACACGUGGAUAACCUACCUAUAAGACUGGGAUAACUUCGGGAAACCGGAGCUAAUACCGGAUAAUAUUUUGAACCGCAUGGUUCAAAAGUGAAAGACGGUCUUGCUGUCACUUAUAGAUGGAUCCGCGCUGCAUUAGCUAGUUGGUAAGGUAACGGCUUACCAAGGCAACGAUGCAUAGCCGACCUGAGAGGGUGAUCGGCCACACUGGAACUGAGACACGGUCCAGACUCCUACGGGAGGCAGCAGUAGGGAAUCUUCCGCAAUGGGCGAAAGCCUGACGGAGCAACGCCGCGUGAGUGAUGAAGGUCUUCGGAUCGUAAAACUCUGUUAUUAGGGAAGAACAUAUGUGUAAGUAACUGUGCACAUCUUGACGGUACCUAAUCAGAAAGCCACGGCUAACUACGUGCCAGCAGCCGCGGUAAUACGUAGGUGGCAAGCGUUAUCCGGAAUUAUUGGGCGUAAAGCGCGCGUAGGCGGUUUUUUAAGUCUGAUGUGAAAGCCCACGGCUCAACCGUGGAGGGUCAUUGGAAACUGGAAAACUUGAGUGCAGAAGAGGAAAGUGGAAUUCCAUGUGUAGCGGUGAAAUGCGCAGAGAUAUGGAGGAACACCAGUGGCGAAGGCGACUUUCUGGUCUGUAACUGACGCUGAUGUGCGAAAGCGUGGGGAUCAAACAGGAUUAGAUACCCUGGUAGUCCACGCCGUAAACGAUGAGUGCUAAGUGUUAGGGGGUUUCCGCCCCUUAGUGCUGCAGCUAACGCAUUAAGCACUCCGCCUGGGGAGUACGACCGCAAGGUUGAAACUCAAAGGAAUUGACGGGGACCCGCACAAGCGGUGGAGCAUGUGGUUUAAUUCGAAGCAACGCGAAGAACCUUACCAAAUCUUGACAUCCUUUGACAACUCUAGAGAUAGAGCCUUCCCCUUCGGGGGACAAAGUGACAGGUGGUGCAUGGUUGUCGUCAGCUCGUGUCGUGAGAUGUUGGGUUAAGUCCCGCAACGAGCGCAACCCUUAAGCUUAGUUGCCAUCAUUAAGUUGGGCACUCUAAGUUGACUGCCGGUGACAAACCGGAGGAAGGUGGGGAUGACGUCAAAUCAUCAUGCCCCUUAUGAUUUGGGCUACACACGUGCUACAAUGGACAAUACAAAGGGCAGCGAAACCGCGAGGCCAAGCAAAUCCCAUAAAGUUGUUCUCAGUUCGGAUUGUAGUCUGCAACUCGACUACAUGAAGCUGGAAUCGCUAGUAAUCGUAGAUCAGCAUGCUACGGUGAAUACGUUCCCGGGUCU